ACGCAGCUAGCUGCGAUAACUAGUGCGAAUUGCAAACACAUUGAGCACCAAAAUUUCGAACGCAAAUUGCGCCAUCGGGUUUAUUCCCCUUGGCACGUCUGGCUGAGGGUCGGU
rnacentral:rRNA from 1 species